rnacentral:lncRNA from 1 species
AGGAGACAAAGGAAGAAGCCUUUUAUCCCCCUCCCUCCUCUCUCCCUCUCUCUCUCUCUCCUCCUCCCAUCACUUGGUGGGAAUGUCAGUCCACACCCCGCACCUGCUCCUUCCUACCACUGUCGAGGAAUCAUCCAAACAAAUCCCAUUUCAUGUGGUGUGUGGUCCACCACCUCACCACCCCCAUACCUCUUUCUUUCCCCAGGC